AAACGGAUCGGAUUAAUCCGUGAUCCGAUCCGACCCGAUCCAAUUAGACCCGACCCGAAUCCAUUUAAAAGACUCAUGGAGCCGGGUCGGGUUCAAAAAUUGGACCCGUUCAUCUUUCCGGGUCGGGUCUGGAUUUUCUGAAUUUGGACCCGACCCGACCUGACCCGUAGAGACUUUUGGAUUAAUUUGGAUCUCAAGAUAUAUGACCCGACCCGAUCCGAUCCGAACCGGAUCCAAAUAUAAGACCCGAACUCAGUUAGAAUGACUCAUCCAAAUAAGAAUUUGGGCUUGGAUCAAAAGGUGACUCACCCAAAUUCUUUCUUAAAUCUNNNNNNNNNNNNNNNNNNNNUUUGGGCUUGGAUCAAAAGAGUGACUCACCCAAAUUCUUUCUUAAAUCUCUUACUAAAAUCUUUAAUACUAUCACACUAUCACAAGAUCAUUAAUGCACUGCACAAGAAAUGUCAUUCUUAUAGCUAAUCUCGAAACUUUUCUAAAAGUCCUUCCACAAAUUCAAAGUAAACUGGAGACAUACCAACAGUUGUUCAUAAUUAAAAUAUCCAGUUAUUUGUUUACUGUUGUACAUUACUAUUGUUUUAGGGAUGGUAUACAAUAUCCACUAUCAAUGGUGAAGUGAGAAGACGUAGGAAGAGAGGAGGGGA
rnacentral:lncRNA from 1 species